rnacentral:rRNA from 1 species
UACGUAGGUGGCUAGCGUUGUCCGGAUUUACUGGGCGUAAAGAGCGCGCAGGCGGUCGUUCAAGUCGAGUGUGAAAGCCCCCGGCUCAACUGGGGAGGGUCACUCGAUACUGAUCGACUUGAAGGCGGGAGAGGGAAGCGGAAUUCCCGGUGUAGUGGUGAAAUGCGUAGAUAUCGGGAGGAACACCUGUGGCGAAAGCGGCGCACUGGACCACAACUGACGCUGAGGCGCGAAAGCUAGGGGAGCAAACAGG